AAAGCUCUGAAGUUUAAUUGCUGUGGAUAACCAUCGAUCAUUGCUGGGCUGCCCCUGGGACGGUGGACUUUGAGAGAGGAGAAAACAAGCCCAGGCAGAGCAUCCUGCCCCUGGUCAUUGAUGGUAGAGCUGGUUCAGAGGAACACAUGCUGGUCCAAGUUCUGCCUUAGUAUUGCCAACUGUCUUUGGCAUCAGACUAGCUCAGCUGUGCAAGGAGAGAUCAAGGAAUGGAGCUGCUAUCCCCUUUUGGGCAGUGCACCCAUGGGGACCAUAUGGAGAUGGUAGAGAUCAUCCAGUAUGAAUAUCUCCACCUGGUAGGUGAAACAGAGACAGAGAAUCAGAGGCAGCACAAGCAAUAACCAUUUUUCUGGAUCUCUAUUCUGCUCAAAUGUUUGAAGUCUCUGUUUGGUGUUUUUAAAGGGUGUCUAUUAUCUUGUCUGUAAAGUAGUGAUUAAAAAGACCUAACUUACAGAAUUGAUGCUAGAAGUAAAUGGGAUAAAUGCAAAGUGUUUAGUAGAGCGUCUAGCACAUAGGUAGAACUUAAUAAAUGGUAGAGGGAAAUGAUAUCAGUAAUGGUUCCUGUUUUCCUGGAAGGUUAUAUCCAAUUGGGGACACAUACAAUAAACAUGGAAAAAUACAUAAAUGGUAACAGAAUGAGUAAGGGCUAGUUAUGAUGGAAGAAAUAGUCUAAUAGACAAUGAUUGGAAAUAAGGAGUCUGCUUUGGAUAGGGUGGUCAGGGGAAGCCAUUCUGGAGGUGACUUUUACUCUGAGACCAGAGAAGGAGAAGCUAGAACAGCGGGUGAGUGGCAUUCCAUGCGCAGGAAACAGAAAUUGCAAAGUCUGUGAGGCAGCGACGAGAUGAGAGCAGUUGGCAUGUGGACGCACAAGGGAGAAAACAGAGUGAAGGGAGGCCAGGCAAUUUUGAUUGUGCUUCAAGUUCUCACUACUCCAAGUGUGGUUCCGGCAUCACCUGGAGCCUGUUGGAAAUGCGGAAACUCCGGUACCACCCCAGACCUCCUAGCCAGAAUCUGCACUUUAACAAGAUCCUUGAGCGAUCCCUUUGUCCUUCUGAGAUAAGGAAGCACUGGUUUAGGAAGCUACUGGAAAGGUUAGGCAGCACAGUGGUGUGAUCUGCUUUAUAUUUUUAAAAGGAUCACUCCAGAGGCUAUGGUGGAAGUGGAUU